rnacentral:rRNA from 1 species
ACUUUACAAUGCGAGAAAUCGUGAUAAGGGAACCCCGAGUGCCCGUAAAUUCGGGCUGUCCAUCAGCGUAAAAAACUGGUGAAGAAAGGGCCGGGCAAGACCGGUGCCAGCCGCCGCGGUAAUACCGGCGGCUCGAGUGGUGGCCACUAUUACUGGGCUUAAAGCGUCCGUAGCUGGAUUGUUAAGUCUCUUGGGAAAUCCACCGGCUCAACCGAUGGGCGUUCAGGAGAAACUGGCAAUCUAGGGACCGGGAGAGGUGAGAGGUACUCCAGGGGUAGGAGUGAAAUCCUGUAAUCCUUGGGGGACCACCUGUGGCGAAGGCGUCUCACUAGAACGGCUCCGACAGUGAGGGACGAAAGCUGGGGGAGCAAACCG